rnacentral:rRNA from 1 species
CUUACAUCUCUUCGGAGCAUUUUACGUAGGUGCUGCAUGGUUGUCGUCAGCUCGUGCCGUGAGGUGUCGGGUUAAGUCCGUAACGAGCGCAACCCUUGUCCUUAGUUACCAGCACGUUAUGGUGGGCACUCUAAGGAGACUGCCGGUGACAACCGGAGGAAGGUGGGGAUGACGUCAAGUCAUCAUGGCCCUUACGGCCUGGGCUACACACGUGCUACAAUGGUCGGUACAAAGGGUUGCCAAGCCGCGAGGUGGAGCUAAUCCCAUAAAACCGAUCGUAGUCCGGAUCGCAGUCUGCAACUCGACUGCGUGAAGUCGGAAUCGCUAGUAAUCGUGAAUCAGAAUGUCACGGUGAAUACGUUCCCGGGCCUU